AGUACUACGUCGUCGUGUGAGCAGCAAGAGUACCUUCAUGUGGCGGUAUGACUUCGUCCAAAAGUUUUGGCUUCAUUCUCUUCCAGAUCUUCUUGAUGAUCACCCUCAGCUCCUCGUUCUCCUGCUCAGGGUUACCUAGCAACAGCAGCAGGGUCCUGCAAAGACCCAUCACAUACCUUCAGUCUUGAUUUUAAGUGCAGUGCGAACCAGAGCAAAUAACGUGGCGUUGAAGGUCACCAUCCCAUCAGCAUUCAGAGGCAUGUUCAUCGCUACCAGACGCUGAGAUGGAGAGGAGGCGACUCUGUGAGGGCAAAGCUUCCCAAAACCCAGAGGAGGCUGAAUCCUCCUCAGCAGUGCAACAACGUCCAGGUGUUUUAUUCGACCUCUGAGAAUAAAGAACAAUCAGGAACUUUCUGAUCAUCUCUCAGCUGGAACUUUAUUUACUUUUCCUCCUGAUUUAGGUCAAUAAACACUGGAAAAAAAUCCACUUUUCUCCCUCAACAUCGAAGUCAUAUGAAAAUGUGGAGUAGUGACCGCAGAGCGUUGCUGCAGAUUAAAUCCCAGCUCAAUUUAUUAUUUUUACAGUUUCAAUUUGCUUCACUGCUAUGACAAUUAAAUCAAAUGAAAAUCAUUAUAUAUAUUUUGUAUGUCUGAUACAGAAAAAGACACGGAAGAGUAUAUCCUGAAUCUAAGAAAGGAAAAAAGAUGCGUUGGACAUUUUUUAUAUGUGGUAGAUUUUAUGUGGUGUAAUAGAGAGAGUGUGUGUGUGUGUGUGUGUGUGUGUGUGUGUGUGUGUGUGUAAACAACUAACAGGUAUUUUAGCAGGAGCAGGAGUUUCUAUUCUCACCAAAGGAAUUAUCAUUAACUAAAACUAAAAUAUAAAAUAAUUAAAAACAUGAAGUAAAAACAGUAAAUUAUCCUGGGUAUAUGUGGACCACGGAUCAUCUUACUUGGC